UACGUAGGGUGCGAGCGUUGUCCGGAAUUAUUGGGCGUAAAGAGCUCGUAGGCGGUGUGUCACGUCGUUCGUGAAAACCUGCAGCUUAACUGUGGGCGUGCGGUCGAUACGGGCAUCACUGGAGUUCGGCAGGGGAGACUGGAAUUCCUGGUGUAGCGGUGAAAUGCGCAGAUAUCAGGAGGAACACCGGUGGCGAAGGCGGGUCUCUGGGCCGAUACUGACGCUGAGGUGCGAAAGCCAGGGGAGCAAACGGG
rnacentral:rRNA from 1 species